CUCAGAAGCUGGACAUUGUACAUGUAACAAGUCUAUGAACUUGACAUUGCAACAGAACUCAGAGGCCAGACAUUGUACAUGUAACAAGUCUAAGAAACUUGACAUUACAACAGAACUCAGAAGCCGGACAUUGUACAUGUAACAAGUCUAUGAAACUCGACAUCCCAACAGAACUCAGAAGCCAGACAUUGUACAUGUAACAAGUCUAAGAAACUUGACAUCACAACAGAACUCAGAAGCCGGACAUUGUGCAUGUAACAAGUCUAGGAAACUUGACAUUACAACAGAACUCAGAAUCUGGACAUUGUACAUGUAACAAGUCUAUGAAACUUGACAUCCCAACAGAACUCAGAAGCCAGACAUUGUACAUGUAACAAGUCUAAGAAACUUGACAUCACAACAGAACUCGGAAGCUGGACAUUGUACAUGUAACAAGUCUUAGACAAUCGACAUUACAACAGAACUCGGAAGCCAGCCAAUGAACAUGUAACAAGUCUUAGACAAUCGACAUUACAACAGAACUCGGAAGCCGGACAUUGUACAUGUAACAAGUCUAUGAAACUUGCCAUCACAACAGAACUCAGAAGCUGGAAAUUGUACAUGUUACAAGUCUAUGAAACUUGACAUUAUAACAGAACUCAGAAGCUGGACAUUGUACAUGUAACAAGUCUUAUAAAAUCGACAUUGCAACAGAACUCAGAAGCUGGACAUUGUACAUGUAACAAGUCUAUGAAACUUGACAUCACAACAGAACUUAGAAGCUGGACAUUGUACAUGUAACAAGUGUAUGAAACUUGACAUUACAACAGAACUCAGAGGCUGGACAUUGUACAUGUAACAAGUGUAUGAAACUUGACAUCACAACAGAACUCAGAAGCUGGGCAUUGUACAUGUAAUAAGUCUAUGAAACUUGACAUUACAACAGAACUCAGAAGCUGGACAUUGUACAUGGAACAAGUGUGUAACUUGACAUCACAAAAGAACUCAGAAGCCAGACAUUGUACAUGUAACAAGUGUAUGAAACUUGACAUUACAACAGAACUCAGAGGCUGGACAUUGUACAUGUAGCAAGUGUAUGAAACUUGACAUCACAACAGAACUCAGAGGCUGGACAUUGUACAUGUAGCAAGUCUAUGAAACUUGACAUUACAACAGAACUCAGAGGCCAGACAUUGUACAUGUAACAAGUCUAAGAAACUUCACAUUGCAACAGGACUCAAAAAAUAUUAUGAUUCAAAGUCUUGAAAAUUGUCAUUGUUACAAGACUUAGAAACUUGACUGGUCAUAAGACUUUAAGAAUUUAUGAUUACAGAACUCAAAGAAGGAAACAAAACUUGUCCUAGUAAAAAGAGUUUUCAAUUUGACAUGUUGACAAAACUUAGAAACUUGACACGAUAA